UGCCAAGAAGGACUAUGAAUGGAGCUUUGC
rnacentral:piRNA from 1 species